rnacentral:rRNA from 1 species
GACGAACGCUGGCGGCGUGCUUAACACAUGCAAGUCGAACGGACUACUUUGCUUCGGUAAGGUGGUUAGUGGCGAACGGGUGAGUAACGCGUAGACAACCUACCUCUUAGAUGGGGACAACAUCGCGAAAGCGGUGCUAAUACCGAAUGAAGUGACUUUCCUGCAUGGGAGAGAUACUAAAGGUGGCCUCUAUUUAUAAGCUACCACUGAGAGAUGGGUCUGCGUCUGAUUAGCUAGUUGGCGGGGUAACGGCCCACCAAGGCGACGAUCAGUAGCCGGUCUGAGGGGAAGAACGGCCAAAUUGGGACUGGGACACGGCCCAAACUCCUACGGGAGGCAGCAGUGGGAAAUCUUCCGCAAUGGACGAAAGUCUGACGGAGCAACGCCGCGUGAGUGAAGAAGGUUUUCGGAUCGUAAAGCUCUGUUGUUUGAGACGAAUGUGCCUGUUUCGAAUAGGGAUAGGUAAUGACGGUAUUAAACGAGAAAGCCACGGCUAACUACGUGCCAGCCGCCGCGGUAA